rnacentral:rRNA from 1 species
CGCGUAGGCGGGCGAUCAAGCGUGCGGUGAAAGCUCGGGGCUCAACUCCGAGUCGGCCGUGCGAACUGGUUGUCUAGAGUCCGGUAGAGGCUGAUGGAAUUCCGGGUGUAGCGGUGGAAUGCGUAGAGAUCCGGAAGAACACCGGUGGCGAAGGCGGUCAGCUGGGCCGGUACUGACGCUGAUGCGCGACAGCGUGGGGAGCAAACAGGAUUAGAUACCCUGGUAGUCCACGCCGUAAACGAUGGGCACUAGAUCCUUGGGGGAGCGACCCCGUGAGGGUCGGCGCUAACGCAUUAAGUGCCCCGCCUGGGGAGUACGGCCGCAAGGCUGAA